rnacentral:rRNA from 1 species
UACGUAGGGUGCAAGCGUUGUCCGGAAUUAUUGGGCGUAAAGAGCUCGUAGGCGGCUUGUCACGUCGACUGUGAAAACCCGGGGCUCAACUCCGGGCCUGCAGUCGAUACGGGCUGGCUUGAGUGCGGUAGGGGAGACUGGAAUUCCUGGUGUAGCGGUGAAAUGCGCAGAUAUCAGGAGGAACACCGGUGGCGAAGGCGGGUCUCUGGGCCGUAACUGACACUGAGGAACGAAAGCUAGGGGAGCGAAUGGG